rnacentral:rRNA from 1 species
UGGAAGUAAAAGUCGUAACAAGGUCUCCGUUGGUGAACCAGCGGAGGGAUCAUUACCGAGUUUACAACUCCCAAACCCCAAUGUGAACGUUACCAAUCUGUUGCCUCGGCGGGAUUCUCUUGCCCCGGGCGCGUCGCAGCCCCGGAUCCCAUGGCGCCCGCCGGAGGACCAACUCCAAACUCUUUUUUUCUCUCCGUCGCGGCUCCCGUCGCGGCUCUGUUUUAUUUUUGCUCUGAGCCUUUCUCGGCGACCCUAGCGGGCGUCUCGAAAAUGAAUCAAAACUUUCAACAACGGAUCUCUUGGUUCUGGCAUCGAUGAAGAACGCAGCGAAAUGCGAUAAGUAAUGUGAAUUGCAGAAUUCAGUGAAUCAUCGAAUCUUUGAACGCACAUUGCGCCCGCCAGUAUUCUGGCGGGCAUGCCUGUCCGAGCGUCAUUUCAACCCUCGAACCCCUCCGGGGGGUCGGCGUUGGGGAUCGGCCCCUCACCGGGCCGCCCCCGAAAUACAGUGGCGGUCUCGCCGCAGCCUCUCCUGCGCAGUAGUUUGCACACUCGCACCGGGAGCGCGGCGCGGCCACAGCCGUAAAACACCCCAAACUUCUGAAAUGUUGACCUCGGAUCAGGUAGGAAUACCCGCUGAACUUAAGCAUAUCAAUAAGCGGAGGA